CUCUGCCCUCGCGAGACAGCCAGUGAUGUGAUCGUCAGCGUGUGUUUGCGCGCAGCCCACAGAUCCAGUCUUUUUUCCUGCGAUACAAUAUACGCGUGCGCGCGCACCCGCUGUCCCACACGGUCAUGAUGUACGGAACGCGCGACGUGCACACGUUACAAUAUCGCCCGGCAAAAAGAAAAAAUAGACGGGCGCGGUGCGGAGGAAAAUUCCCGCACCGCGACCGACGGUAAUGCAGUUCAACGGACUGUGCCGCGGUCGACCCGGCGCCGAGUGUACAAAACUACGAAAAACCGCUCGACCGGUAUUAUGAUGCAUUUCUAUCAUCGACGGGCGCGCUUCGGAUGUAUUACGUGUGGUAGUCUGUAGGUAGGUACCACUGACACUGCGCGUGUACGCUUCUACAAUAAUAUUGUGGUGAUAUCGUUCCACGCCUGCGACGGUCUCGAGUCGUCGUGGGAUACCUAUAAUUUGGCCAUUGAUCAAAUAAUAAUACACAAGUCCUCGUUUAAUUCCAUUCCAUAAUAUACGUUAUACACGUUUGUGUGCACCAAUACCUAUUGUUCAUUUUUUGUUAUGGCGUCGCAUCUGGUACUCGGGUUGGACAAUCGUUUUUACUAAUACUUAACGUUGCACCCGAUAACAGGAUUCGCGUGAAUGCAAUUCGUACACAAUGAUAAUAUAAAAAGUUGACUGCAUACUGAUAUAUUAUACUCGUAUUAAUACGUAGUUAUUAAAUAAACAGAAAACGAUGAUGGUGUACAUAGGAUACCAAACAAUAGAAACUCAAGGACAUAUUAAAUUUACGUCACUUUUAUAGUAACAAUGCUAACAAUACAUUUUCUUCUUCAAAUUCUACUAUCGGAAAUUUGAUUGCGAUUUAUACAAUAAUAAUAAACAGGACAAACUGCACCUAUAUGGCUAUAGGCUAUUAUAUAUAUAUAUAUAGUUACUGAUUAUAGGUAGCUAUUAAUUAUAGUGAAGUACAGAAAUAACAGGAAGGGGAGAUUUUGAACAUUUAUAAAAGGCACACUCCUAUUUAUGAUUAAGACGAGCUCAAUGAUGAGUGAUCACUCCCAUUUCCCGCCCUGGAUCCAUCAUUGCCUAUAGAAAAUUGUUAAGAAUGAAUUAUCUAUAAUAAAUAAUAUUUAUUAUAAUUGUGGAUAUACUAAGUGUCAUAAAAACCGGGGGUACAAACAAGGUAUAACCUAAUAGAAAAUAGUAAUUUUUUAAGGAACUAUUAGUAUGCGGGCUACAUACAAUUGAUUUGCACCACAAAAAGGUACCUACUAACAUUAACAUUAUUUUUUAUCACUCUAAUUUUUGAGAUACCAUCUACAUUUGAUUUUCAAAUGGCAAUCUAUAUUAAAAAUUCCAUAAAUAUAUGGAGUAUUAGUUAAAAUAAUACAUUUUGGUGCUAAAAUGUUUGAUUUCUGUUAAUUAUCUGUCUUGGUGUUUAUUUAUUUAUUUUUAUUAUCAUAUAUUUUAUCAAUAGUAUAUAUCAAUGAUUACCUUUCAAUCUCUAAAAGGAUUUUAGAUUCUGAUUUGAAUGUACUGGUUUUAUUAAGUUUUUCAUUUUUUAUUUAUCUUUGAAUAACUAAAAAAAUUCUAUCAGAGUGUAGUAAGAUCCACUAUUGUAUGGUAGAUGUCAAUAUAGAAUGGAGAAUGAGAAUGCUUAGUUGAACGAGUGGAAUGAAGAGAGAAGAUAGUACAGAGUAGAUGUGAAUAGCAUAGGCGUGGCUUUGAUAACAGAUAAAAUAAAAUAUGACAGAUUUGGGCAUACCAUGAUAAGAAAAGAAAGACCGCAAAAAGGAUUAAUUGAAUGCGCUUAUGAUAUGAUGACAGUGGAUGCAUGCAUGACUGAUAAUGGGUGUACCACUGUUGUAGGUAAAAAGUAGGAUACAUAAUGUUAUUUCAUAUAAAUCUGUAAAAAAUAAUAAACCAUUGCUAAUGAAUAAUGAUUCAGAACAAUAUUUGGGUAAACAUAUUUAGAAAUACUGUUAAUUUUACAAUUUGGAAAAGGCAAAUUAUGCUAGACUUUCUAUUUUUUACCAUUAAAUGUAACUUAUGGUGUUGAAUUUUCUAACAUUUUGGUUAUGCCAAAAAAUUAAAAUCACAUAAAUUGAAAAAUAAUACAGGAAAUGCCGCAAUAUUUUAGAUUAUGAGCAUAUUUAUUUCUGUCUGAGAAACAACUCAGGUAAUAGGUAUGGAUAAUAUAGUUUACACUAAAAAUUAUUAUUAAUUUAACAUUAUAACUUUAUACUUGUACUUAAUGAUAAAAACAAAAAUAGUUGAGCGCAAUGUAGAAGUUUUUUUUUACAUAAGCGUUUCAAAUCUUAAAUUUUCAAUCUUAAAAAUUACAGCAUUUCAAGAUGUGUAAAGUUAAACUUCACUCAGAAUCACUUUUCAUUACUUACAGAUAUGAAAUAAAUAAUAUACAUUCUAUCUCUCCACAUACAACAAUGGUACAGUUGUCCGUCUUCCAAGUAUCAGCUCUUUUUUAUACGAUUAUUGUCUACAUUUCAUCUGAAAACACAUUAAUAAACACUAAGGACAAAUUAUGACGAAUUUCGUGUAAAAUUCUCAAGCAUUUUUGAUCGGCCAAAUAAUUUAUCUACUAAAACAAUAAAAAAAAAAAAAUUGAAAUUGUAAAAUGUCUAUAAUUAGCUCAAAAAAAAAAAAACAACAGAAUAUUAUACAAAUUUGAACACAUCUAUAAAAGUAUAAUAUAGUGUAUGCUGUGUAAAUGUUAUUUUUCACCAAAUUCCAAAAAAAUAAUAAAAUUGUUAUUUCUGUAACCUUUUUCAGUUUUACUCAGUUAUUAAGAAAAUAUUAAGUUAAAUAAUGACUUCUUAAUACACUAAUGAGGGAAAAUUUAUGCUACUCUUAAAAUUUGAAAAAAAAAAAAAAAAACAAAUCGAAAUUAAUAAAACUUUUAUUUUUGUAUAUUUGUCUGUUUUUCCUACAAGUUCCUUUGAGAUAUUUCAUAAUUAUUACGAAAAUUGAUGGAAAACAGAUUUUCUAAUGCACCAAAUAGAGACAAAAUUCAACAUAAAAGAUUUCUUGUAAUUUUUUGAUUGGUGUAAAAUGUUUGAUAAGAAAAAUGGUUUAAACAAAAAAAAAAAUAAAACACAUUAUACUAAAACCAAUACAUUCUUUGCUAUGCUCAAAAUCUAAAAUAAAAUGAUAUUUACCAUCUAUAUUGAACAGUUAUAAUCUCUAAAAUAAUUAAAUGUAUACAAAUAAAAUUAGUAAAAAAUAACCUAAUAAUUUUAUAAAUAUGGUAUUAUUUUGUUGAGUGUUUAUUCAUGGAAUAUGUAUACUAUCCCAUUAUUUGCCUGGAAAUGCAAUGAAAUUGCUGUCAAUAUAUUUUUUUAAAUUUUAAUUUGUAUAAAUAUAAUUAUUUUUAUUUAGUAUUGGAAAUAUAAAAUUAGUAAAAUUCUUUUAAAUACCUACUGUUAUUUAUGAUGACUUUUUCUUUAAAUAAUAUUUUUACUUAAUUUAAUCUGGGUAAUUUCACCUCUUUCGAGUUACACAUGAAAAAUAAUAAUAAUUAAAAACCAAUAUUAAUAAAUUAUAAAAAUAUUAUGUAUAUUUUCCAGAUAUUAUGUUUUGCAACUCUAAUACUUUCAUUGUAGAUGGUUCAGCCGUAGUUUCUGAUCAGAAGUCAAGAAGGAAAUGGUUUCCGAUUUCUAAUUUGAAUACGGUAUUGGGCUCGCCGUGCACAGUCACUAUAUCCAAUGUGCACGUUAGAUAAGCAGGCUACGAGUUUCAUUCUGAUAUAUUCUG